ACCCCAGCCAAUCGGGAAACGAAGUCUCUGACUCAGACCAAUCGUUGACGCUCAGACCCUUAAAUACAGGCCAAACGGGGCGGAGUCUCGGCCGGAGGGCGGAGCGGAUAGGGGCCGGGGCCCAGGGGAGGCGGGGCCUGGCAAGGGCGGGAAGUUACUAGCACGCUGGCUCCCGCUGGUCUGAGAGUCCGCCUCACCGGUACUGGGAGCGGCGAAGGAGGCAGUACCUGCGGGGGCGAAACCAGGUCUCAGGACUGGACCCUUCCUUGAGGGGCGGGGUCUGCGGCCGAGCGGAAGAAUGGUGAAUCCAAACCGCGGUAGAAUCUGAUCGUCAGAUGGUCCUGGGCGAAGUGCCGCCGGUGCCGAGGUUGAGAAUAAAUAAACUUAAAAAAAAUUAAAAGCAGUCUUCUGGAGGAGCAGUUCCAGCAGGGCAAGCUUCUUGCAUGCUUGCUUCAAGACCAGGCCAGUGUGGCCAAGCAGAUGGCUAUGUGCUGGAGGGCAAGGAGCUAGAGUUCUAUCUGAGGAAAAUCAAAGCCUGGAAAGUCAUAUGAGGAUUGAAGGAGAUCCUGCCAGGAAAGCCCCCAGGCUGCCCUUCUGCUUCUGCUGGUGGCAUGAAGGUUCCCUCCCGGGGCCUGAGCUUUAGAGGGCCCGGGUUUGGGGUGAAGAAUCUGGGAGCCCGAGGCCUGGAGGUCAGCUCCCCGCCCCCAACCCUCCAGGUACAGGAAUUCUCUGCUCAGUUGGUGCGGAGUCCAUUAGAAGGGCCUGCAGGGCCUGCGUAGCCCUCUCCCCCAGUCUGCUCUUCAGAGGGAAGGCCAUCCCUGUAGAUCUGAAGGGCGGCCAAGGUGUGGGUCGGUAGGUUGUGGACAGAGUGUGAACAUUUGGCUUGGGGCGUCCACACAUGUGCAAGUGGGUCCCUUACUGUCAGAACAGAGAGGCGUGGGUAGGAAUAGAAGAGGGGGGAUCAAGAGCUCCAUUUGUACUGUUGCCCUGAACCUCUCCAAUGUGAGAGGUGGGCCUGCUUCUUUUCUUCUUUCUCUCUCUUUUUAAAAUUUUUUUAUUUUUUGAGAGAGAGAGAAAGAGUGAGCUUGUGAGCAGGGGAGAGGGGCAGAGAGAGAGAGAGAGAGAGAGAGAGAGAGAGAGAAUCCUAAGAAAGCUCCACACUUAGCUUGCAGCCCACCACGGGGCUCGAUUCCAUGACCCUGGGAUCAUGACCUUGUAAGGGUUAAAUUGUAGUAUAGGGCUUAAUGCUUAGCUUGAAAAAUAACAGCUUUGUGUUGACACUGAAGGUUAAGAGAUAACAGCCUUGCUUUACUCUUGUAAAUUAUGCCUUAUACUCUUGUAAAUUAGGCUUCACCAAUUAAGGAAACAAAAGUUCAAAGAAAAGAGCAUCAGAGGCAGGGUCAAGGAGAUCCACUGGUUGCAACUUAGAGGCAGAAAGUCUAAAAUAAACACCUCAUUAGGCAACUGUUUCUAACUCAUCUGGAAACUGUUUCUAACUCAUCUGGAAACUGUUUCUUUGUUCUG